AAGUUUUUUGUUGUUGUUGUUUUUUUGUGAGUUUCCUCAUCUAAAGCUCUUUUGAGAUGGCACCUCUAAGCUAAGUACAGUGUUCCUGAUAUACUUACUCCAAUUGGAGCAUCCCACCGGUACUAUUUCCCAUGUAUAAUUCAUGGAGGUGCUAUGAAAGCCAGUAUCUCCCAUGAAUGACUCUGAUAUUCUGAAAAUGAGACUAUGGCAUGUGGUCUUGUUUCCUGGUCAGCCUUAGAUGGUCAAAACCCAGCACCCUCCUGCCCAAAUCUCUUCUGGACUCACACCUGUCUCCUCGGAGAUGAACUGGAGACCUACCCUCUGCUUAGCAGAUACAACAAGAAACUGAGCCAGUCUCCUGGGAAGUGACGACUACUUGCAUGUAGCUGAGUGAUAAGGACUUGUUGUAGAAUGAGGACCUUCAUCUUGAGUGUGGAUUUAACCAGUUGGACAACAAAAGAGUCAGCAAGUGGUGAGUGGUGGAUUGUGAGAACCAAGGACCUGCCUUUCUUCCUGCUCUCCCUUCUGAGCAUUGUCACCAAGCAGUGUGUUCAUUUACUUGCUAUCUUGUCUCCUUUGCUGAUGUUUCAUGUGUCAACAUCUCCUUGUUAACAAGAUUCUUGUGAUCUUGGCUCACAUUUUUACAACCUACUUGGAGUCUCUGAAAUCACAGUGCCAGAGUUGGGAUCCCUUAGCACCUGAUGACCUCAUCAGCAGAGCUAAUAAGCCUAAGUUCAGGCAGUGCCAAGCCCCAUCAAGGAUGUGCAGGAAAACCUACCAUGCCCUGCAUGAAAUAAGACACCAGAACUCCGAGACAUAAUUUUUAUGUGUGUUAACAUACAGUAAAAACCAGUGAUCCUUCUAUACCUCCGGUUUCUUUUUGUUUUCGGCUACUUUUUGUUUUCCAUGCUUUGACACAUGAAAAAUUGAUACAAUGGGGCUGGAGAGAUAGCUCAGUGGUUAAGAGAAUGCACUGCUUUUUCCAGAGGUCAGGAGUUCGGUUGUCACUGCAUAUAUGGGACAAAUAACAACUGC
rnacentral:lncRNA from 1 species